GCUUAUGUGGCGCAGUUGGUAGCGCAACUCAUUCGUAAUGAGUAGGUCGCCGGUUCGAGUCCGGCCAUGAGCU
rnacentral:tRNA from 1 species